CUCCAUGCUGCUUCAAAAUCAAAUGGCUUUAGACCCUCAUAUAUUGUUUUAAACAAUGCCUUCCGAAUAACAUCAUAGUUACGCAAUCCUCCCAACUUUUCUGGAACUUUCCUCAGGAUGUGUGAUAAAGCAAAACGAUGAAGAGACCUCGGGAAUACCUCAUGAAUUGCAGUCUCCAAAACCUUGCACCUUUCUGUAAUAAUUGUUUGAGGGAAACGUCCAAGAGAGCAGGUGAGCCAAGCUUUAAACAUCCAAACAUAAGAGGCCUUAGUCUCACCAGCAAGCAGG
rnacentral:misc_RNA from 1 species